UAGAGCUGGGUACCAAAUGUUAAUACUUUUAUGGCACCAAACAAAAUACUCUGAUCCAGUGAGUAUCGAAAAAUUAUUUAUCUUUCGGUACCAAAAUUUGAUACCUGGGAGCGCGUAAUCGCAAGCUUAUCUGUCCUCUUUCUGUCAUAAUGACAAAAAGUGG